rnacentral:lncRNA from 1 species
UUAAAGGACCACUAUAGUGCCAGGAAAACAUACUCGUUUUCCUGGCACUAUAGUGCCCUGAGGGUGCCCCCACCCUCAGGGACCCCCUCCCGCCCGGCUCUGGAAGGGGGAAAGGGUUAAAAACUUACCUUUUUCCAGCGCUGGGCGGAGAGCUCUCCUCCUCCGAUCCUCCUCUUCUCCUCCUCCUGGGCUGAAUGCGCACGCGCGGCAAGAGCUGCGCGCGCAUUCAGCCCGUCGCAUAGGAAAGCAUUUACAAUGCUUUCCUAUGGACGCUAGCGUGCUCUCACUGUGAAAAUCACAGUGAGAAGCACGCAAGCGCCUCU